GAAUACUUUCUUCUUUUGAAGAAUAUUGUCAAUUCUCAGUGGGGGUACUCCUAACAACGUCAAAUGCGCAAAGUAAGUUAGGAUACUUUUAACAACUCAAAAUCGUAGAAAGGUCCUUUUUAAUUCCCUCGGGAGAAUGAGUUGAUGGCGCUUCGUUCAAGUCGCGGAUUUUGAGCAGCUAUUAAUCAUCUGAAAGCGGUUCAAGAUACUCCUGAGCUUCGUUCCGCCAUUGAAGAGAUUCAGCCUGAGAGAAUCACAUUUGGCCUAAAGGUUGAUCAAAGUAAACCAAUUUGUAAUGCUUUCAAGGUUAUGAAGGAUUCACCAGACUGGGCAACACUAAGUGAUGCUCGUAAACGAAUAGUUGAAUGUAAGCAUCAUCAAUAGAUGGGUUGCCAGCUACCGCUCUUGGAUUGGCCGCACAAAUAGCCACAUCAAAGGGUCAUGAAAAUGCCACUGCUGAAAAUGGCCCAUGGGUGAUAACAUUAAACGGGCCAAGUUUCAUGUCUGUUAUGCAACAUGCUAAGAAUCGGGCUUUGGGGGAGGAAAUUUACCGUGCUUAUGUAACACGUGCUUUAAGUGGAGAUUUAGAUGAUACUCCGGUUAUUGAACAAAUUUUGAAGCUUAGGUUAGCAAAGGCUAAGCUUCUUGGAUAUAAUAACUACGCAGAGGUUUAAACUUUAAAUAUUUGUUUUUAACAAUUUAGUUGCUAUCUAAAUAAACUUCAGUUUUGUU